ACGACUUUUAAACAAUUGUGUAAACUAAGGGAAGGGGGAGAACAUGAGAGUGAGGGAGAGGGAGGGGAAGGAGAAGGGGACAUGUAUUAACCAAUCAGGCAACUCGGAGGAAUAAUCCAGCCAAUAGGAGGCUUGUUAUGCAAUCCCCAGAGCCAAUCACAGAAGGCCGGUUAGCAGGGUUGACUUUUUUUCUGGAUUUACGUCAGAGAGAGAGAGAGAGAGAGAGAGAGAGAGAGAGAGAGAGAGAGAGAGAGAGAGAGUGUGUGUGUGUGUGUGUGUGUGUGUGGCGUAAGAAGGAGUGGUAGAGAGGAAUGUGUCAGUGAGAGUGAGUGAGAGGAUAAGAGGAAGGAUAGAUAAUGAAGGGUUAGAAACGAGAGGGAGAGGCCAGAGUUGAGUGAGGUGGAGUGAGUGUGUUUGAUGGGCUUGCAGGUUUAAUGAGAAUUCUUGCAUUCAUUCAAGGUAACAAUAAUCUGCCCUGAAGUGUUGUUGUUGGUGGUUUUCCAUGGUGCACGAGAGAGAGAGAGAGAGAGAGAGAGAGAGAGAGAGAGAGAGAGAGAGAGAGAGAGAGAGAGAGUGAGAGAGAGAGAGAGAGAGAGAGAGAGAGAGAGCAAUCAUACAACCAAUAUCACACGUAAUGCCAAAGAAAAUACGAUAUUGAUGAAAAAGUCAAUCAAGUCUUAAUGAAAGUUCACGAAAACUUUAAAGAAAAAACUACACAAGUAACUUUCUACUGCCAGACCAUGAAGACGAUAGAGCAAAACUGAGCCACUACCAAAUAGACACCAUGAUAGAAACUAGCUCGUGAUAAUAAUAGAAAGUGAGUAAAAAUAACUGAAUCUGAUGCCAGUUUCCAAGAAAUCACAAAGAAAAGAAAAACAUCAACACGCCUUAGUCCUGACGAGGCCUGCUUGUGAUGAGCUGCACUACUUAAUAUAGAGUAAGAGAUCUAGGGUAGUAAAGGGAGUAGUAUGCCACACUGUUCUGAAAUACAAGAGUUUUCUUAAGGGGCUUUUAUCUCUAUUUUUGUUGUCCUUAGCCAGAACCCUUCUUAGAAAAUUGUAAAUAAAAUAGUUAAAUAAAUAAAUAAAUAAAUAAAUAAAUAAAUAAAUAAAUAAAACCAAUAUGACCAAUAGUAUGCGUUCGUUUACAGGGAUGACCACAAACAACUUUCCUGAUCUUUAACGUUGUUAUUAUCAUCUUUUGUUAGCAUUUACAACAUUGCAGAAAAUGCUGUAUGGGAGACGCACACAUAUACAAGAGGGAAUAAGAAGGCAAUUUUUUCUUUUCUAGGCUACAGAGCUCUUCAAGAGACAGUAAUUACAAAUGUAAGUGUGUCUGGAACGUUGAUUGUUAUUGUAGGAAAACUUGUCAAUCACAGAAAGGACGAAAGAACUAACUUGUGUAGUGCUGGAGACGAGGCUUGUGUUGUACCUGUUCAAGACACAAAGGAACACUGCGGACGUGCACAAUAAUUGAUUGACGUUUAGUGAACACAACAACCUUGCUACACACACACACACACACACACACACACACACACACAACCUCCUACCCAUCUGAGGUCAGCGUCACCACAAGAGGGAGACCAACCAGCGAGGAAAAUGAUGAGCAUGAAGGGGAAGGUUCCCAAGGUUUGGGGAGGGAAAGGACACAAACCCACGCCUUGUUUUGUGUAGCAGUAAUUACAGGCUCCUUCUUUAUGUCCUUCAGAGCUAGGGAAGAGGAGGAGGAGGAGGAGGAGGAGGAGGAGGAGGAGGAGGAGGAGGAGGAGGAGGAGGAGGAGGAGGAGGAGGAGAAGGAGGAGAAGGAAGGACAAAGGGUGGUUGAGGAAGGAGGAAAAUAGGAGGAUGAUCAUUUAAAAAAAAGUACAUAAUAAAAAAAAGAGCUGCUAUGUAGUGAAGUAUCGUGGAGCCAACGGUACCGCUAGUAGGGAAGAAAAGAAGGAGGAAGAGGAAGAGGAGGAGGAGGAGAAGGGGGAUGAGAAGGGAGGAGGAGGAAGGAGGUAGGGACAAGAACAUUAUAAGGUCACCUGGCUCUACGUAUAUUGUCUUUCCUGCCUUGAACGAGAACGAGGAAACUCUGCACCUUUAUCAGCGAUCCAAGGCAGACUCAGGUGAUUCUGGCAUUUACUCAUUCUAGCUUCGUACGUCUGGUUCUUGCUGCAGCAACCUAAUUUUUUUGUUAAUUUUACUAGUUUUAUUUGCCUCUCGAGACAGUUUGAAGUCCUUUCUUUAGUUUCCCAAUCAAACAUCCCAUCUGGAGAGUUUUAUGAUUCAACGGGCAUAAAACGAACCAUCAGAAGUUUAAACACGUCGAGGUGACACACUGAACAGCCGGACAUAACUCAGUGACCUCCGUUCCAGGAAGACACGCGAGCGAGGAUUUGAAGGUCAGGCAGAGAGGGAAGGUUGAGGAAGGGACAUGCUUGAGGAAUACCACGCGUAAAGGAGACGGACGGGAGAUGUUUGGAAAUACACGGAGACAUGAUGAAAGAAGAAAAGUCGACGUGGUCAAGGUGGGCCGAUUGCAGAGAGAUGAGGGGGAGGUCACUCAGCUCCUGGCAACCUGGUGUCCUUGAUCAUUCCUCUCAGUUUUGGGUUGGCGGGAUUUUUUUUUCUUUUUUUUUUUUGUGCCUCUGCUGGCUAAAUAUAUUAAGACUCCAAGGAGGCUCAUGAUACUGAGAAUAAAGGGGAAGUGACAUAACGGUGCUCUCAUUAUCACUAUUAUCUGGGCAUCUUUUCGCUUCAGAGAGAGAGAGAGAGAGAGAGAGAGAGAGAGAGAGAGAGAGAGAGAGAGAGAGAGAGAGAGAGAGAGAGAGAGAGAGAGAGAGAGAGAGUGAGGGUGGGGAGGGGUAGGAACAAAAUUUUGGCUCAGACAAUUGAAGAGAGGCAGCGAAAGCUUCACCUAUUGCAUGUAAGGUUAAGUUAAGAUACCACCACCCUUCUACUUCAUAGAUUUCUUUUUCUUACUUUCUUUUAUUGCAGGAAGUAACAAUUAUCUCUAUCCUCGUGCACUUGUGUCUGGUGUAAUGAUGUAUUGGUCUCAUUGGUGGAAUCAUCGCCUUUUCUAGCCAACAGCUUUUUACUUUAGAUACAACAGUAAUGUGGCUUACCAUAGAUAGCCUGGAAAGUGCUGAUAAUACCAGUAUAUUUUCUUCCUUUAUGCUCUUUUGACUUGUUUGACUUAUAUUGAAUCUUUUUGAUCGUCUCUUUGGUCUGUGCAGUCUCUGGUCAGUUAGUCUGUUUCUGUCUAAAUGGUCGUGUUACUGUUAGGACCGUUUUUUAAACGUCAUAGAGAUGUUUGGUCAGGUUCUCGCAGUUCCCCUAACAGAGAACAUAAGAACAUGGGAACAUAAGAAAAUAAGGGAACCUGCAAGAAGCCACCAGGCCUACACGUGGCAGUCCCUGUAUGAAAGAGGAGAUACUAUUAUAAUUCUUGUAAGACUACCCCGCCAAAACAUUCCUGAAAACCUCGAUGAAAUCCACUGCAGAAAAUUAAAAGCAUUCGAGGCACGGCAGCACUGAAACCCCCAAAAAUGUGGUGCACUAUAAUAAAGACGUGAUUGGUUGGCUGAGCUUUCUGUUGUGGUCUGGUGUGAUUGGUGGAGGUGGUGGUGAUGGUUGUGAUGGUCUUCUUGGAAUAGCCCACGAAGAAAUAUCUCAGCGUUUGGCUUUUUCUUUUUUAUUUGGAGGGAAGGAUGCGGGUCUUUCUCUCUCGCGUCGAUGAGUUACAGAAGUUGGCGUCUACCUGGAGUGAGAGAAAGUGUCAGAGUCGGCAGCAAGGGGAAAGUUUUCCUCAUCAUAUUCUCUCUCUCUCUCUCUCUCUCUCUCUCUCUCUCUCUCUCUCUCUCUCUCUCUCUCUCUCUCUCUCUCUCUCUCUCAUCCAAUCUAUUUAUAGUUCCUUCUUUUACCUACUUUCUUUCCUAUUAUCACCAUCAUAUUUUUUUUUUAAAUUUUCUAACCAAGCUCCUUUUCUUUUUCUUUUUUUCUUCUUCUUUUCCUCCUCUUCUUCCUUCUCCUUCUCUUCUAUCUCCUCCUCCUCUUCCUCCUCCUCCUUUUCUACACCAAUUAGCUGUAAGAAGGACUCGCCAUCUUCCUCAUUUGCAUGUAUAUAGUAUAAAAAAAAAAAAAAAACAUGUACAGCCAACCAUCUCCAUCCCCUCUUCCUCCUCCUCGUCUUCAUUCUUCUCCUCCUCCACCAUUAGCACCGACAAGAACAACGCAUAUCUGUAAUUAUUAUGUCACACACACACACACACACACACACACACACACACACACACACACACAGGGUCAGUUAAGGUGUGGUCAUGUAAAUCUUGAACUUUCUUUAAACUUACGUAAGAAACCUAUCGCCAUUUUUAAACAACACAAGCAUACGAGAGAGAGAGAGAGAGAGAGAGAGAGAGAGAGAGAGAGAGAGAGAGAGAGAGAGAGAGAGAGAGAGAGAGAGAGAGAGAGAGAGAGAGAGAGAGAGAGAAAGUAAGUUUACAGUAACGCGUAUGCAUGCACUUAAAGCAAAUUUCCAACAUUCACUUCUCUCUAACAAAAAUAUAAUAACGAUAAUAGUAGCAGCAAUAAGGCU